CCUACGGGAGGCAGCAGUUGGGAAUCUUGGACAAUGGGGGAAACCCUGAUCCAGCCAUGCCGCGUGAGUGAUGAAGGCCUUCGGGUUGUAAAACUCUUUCGACGGGGACGAUAAUGACGGUACCCGUAGAAGAAGCUCCGGCUAACUUCGUGCCAGCAGCCGCGGUAAUACGAAGGGGGCUAGCGUUGUUCGGAAUUACUGGGCGUAAAGCGCGCGCAGGCGGUCUUCCAAGUCAGUGGUGAAAGCCCGGAGCUCAACUCCGGAACUGCCAUUGAAACUGUAAGACUUGAGGACGAGAGAGGUGAGUGGAAUUCCCAGUGUAGGGGUGAAAUUCGUAGAUAUUGGGAAGAACACCGGUGGCGAAGGCGGCUCACUGGCUCGUAUCUGACGCUCAGGCGCGACAGCGUGGGGAUCAAACAGGAUUAGAUACCCUGGUAGUCCACGCCGUAAACGAUGAAUGCUAGCCGUUGGGUAGCUUGCUAUUCAGUGGCGCAGCUAACGCAUUAAGCAUUCCGCCUGGGGAGUCGGCCGCAAGGUUGAACUUAAGAUAUCGCGNGNGAGAGCGACGACGACGACGAGGAGGAG
rnacentral:rRNA from 1 species